ACAGGCAAAAAUUGGUUUGUCUCUACCAACCAGAUGCAAGAAAAACCAGUGCUCUUUCUGGAGUUCCUCUACAGUGCUGUUCUAUUUCCUGGUGAUGCAAGAAUGACAAAAAUGUUCCCAUAAGAACUUCUGUGUCAAUGGCCUCACUGCCAAUCGGUCUCCCUCCUAAGAAGUUUCUGUGAAUGACCCAUUUCACUUCCAUAAAAGCUAAUAUACCAUGUGAAAUUA